GGAGUACCACAUCCAGUCGCUGCUCAAGGCAGAGGAAAGUCCGGGCUCCACAGGGCGGGAUGCUGGAAAAAAUCCAGUGAGCGCGAGCUCAAGGAUAGCGCCACAGAGAAGAUACCGCUCCCUCGGGAGCAAGGGUGAAAAGGUGGGGUAAGAGCCCACCAGCCGGCGGGUGACCGUCGGGCUUGGCAAGCCCCAUCCGGAGCAAGGCCGAAUAGGGGGGGAUGAGGUGGCCCGCUGACCCCCGGGUACGGCCGCACGAGGCGCCCCGCGAGGGACGUCCCAGAGAAAUGACUGGACAUCGACAAAACCCGGCUUAUGGGGUGCUCCCCAA
rfam:Thermanaerovibrio acidaminovorans DSM 6589, complete genome.